rnacentral:lncRNA from 1 species
GGAUUCCCCUCCAAUAUCAAUGACUUCAGUAGCACUCAGUGAUCACUGAGAAGCAGUGAUGAGCACAGUGAUUGCACCAUGUGAUAUGUGAGCAUCAGCUGUGGGAGUCAGGGAAACAUUGGAUGAGUUGCAUGGAGGAUGAGAUUCUUCUACAUACCAAGCUGUGUGACUCUAGAAACUAAGUUCAAGAGAAUCUGAUACACAGAAAAGUGGCAGGAUACAUAAAAUAUUCAACUGUAUGCCAAGAAGGUUGAGAUUCACAUGCAGCAAUUGAGUAGCAUAUUUCUAUGUCUCCAUGAACAUGUCACCAUGGAGUGAGUUGUAACACUGAAAACAUCCAAAAGUCAUCUUUCAUGGAUAUCGGCAGCAAUGUAGAGAAUGGCUUGGAGGUAAUGCCUUUUCUGUCAAAAAGACCACUGACAUACAACAUCAAAGUAACACACUUUAUGAAUAAUAAAUAAGCAAUCACAGAGCACCAAAUUCGAUUUUAAAAAAUGAAGCCAAGGAUGCAAAUGAUGUAACUGCAAUUCUUAUCACCUAUUUAUGUGCAUUAAUGCAUAGAAACCGACACUCUUUAUACCCUAGUGAACCCAUGCUUGUCAGUAGGGGCAAUGGAUGUAUCAGUUCUGAGAUAUAACCACUGCACUUAGCAAAUCAUGCUUGAUUGAUUUGUACUAAGAUUUCUAAAAUAAAAUGAGAAAGAAAUCCCUUC